AGGAUAGCCUUAUGCCUAUCCCACGCAUGCUUAAACUCCUUUACUGUGUUAAUUUUUUUUCCCAGUAUUUAACAAAUAUGUAUUUUUGAGGUGCAGGUGAAAAUAAAAUUAACUGUAUAAAUCUACAUCUCUUUAUCCUCUAACUGGGCGCCUCCAUCUUGGCUAUCUGUCAAACGUUGUUAUAAGCUCCAUCCUUUACUUUACAGCUUGCAGUCAACGUACAGAGAGCAGACC